CGAGUUGCAAUCCACCUAAUGUGUCUGGAGCACCCCCCCCCCCUCUCUCUCUCACCCAGUCGCUAUCUGCUCUCUCUCUCUCUCUCUCCCGUGUCUGUGUGUGUGUGUGUCAGCCCGCAGCUCCGGUAUCGGGAUAAUAACCGGGCUCGGUCCUCAGCACACGUCGCGGAGCAGCAGCUGCUUGUAGUUCUCAUGGUCACUUGCUGGGCAUGGGGGAACGAGACACCGGAAUGGUGUUCCAGCAGUCAGAGCAUCAUCAAAAAAGCAUUGUCAUACACUGAAGACAGAGCCUGGUGAUUUCCAGCCAUGACUUGUACAGUACACACCACUGUACCUCUUCAAGUAAAGCCACCUAAAAUUGUGCCUGCUAAAAUCUGUUUUAUCCUGCUGUGAGACAUAGUUUUUUCUCUCCGUUCUGGACCUGUUUGUGUCUCAUCUUCAGCUUUCCAAAAUCUCUGCCCCACUUUGCUAACUCUCAGA
ensembl:lncRNA